rnacentral:rRNA from 1 species
AGUGAACGCUGGCGGUAGGCCUAACACAUGCAAGUCGAACGGCAGCACAGUAAGAGCUUGCUCUUACGGGUGGCGAGUGGCGGACGGGUGAGGAAUACAUCGGAAUCUACUUUUUCGUGGGGGAUAACGUAGGGAAACUUACGCUAAUACCGCAUACGACCUACGGGUGACAGCAGGGGAUCUUCGGACCUUGCGCGAUUGAAUGAGCCGAUGUCGGAUUAGCUAGUUGGCGGGGUAAAGGCCCACCAAGGCGACGAUCCGUAGCUGGUCUGAGAGGAUGAUCAGCCACACUGGAACGGAGACACGGUCCAGACUCCUACGGGAGGCAGCAGUGGGGAAUAUUGGACAAUGGGCGCAAGCCUGAUCCAGCCAGACCGCGUGGGUGAAGAAGGCCUUCGGGUUGUAAAGCCCUUUUGUUGGGAAAGAAAAGCAGCAGGUUAAGACCCCGCUGUUCUGACGGUACCCAAAGAAUAAGCACCGGCUAACUUCGUG